rnacentral:rRNA from 1 species
UACGGAAGGCAGCAGUGGGGAAUAUUGCACAAUGGGCGCAAGCCUGAUGCAGCCAUGCCGCGUGUAUGAAGAAGGCCUUCGGGUUGUAAAGUACUUUCAGUCGUGAGGAAGGUGUUAAGGUUAAUAACCUUAGCAAUUGACGUUAGCGACAGAAGAAGCACCGGCUAACUCCGUGCCAGCAGCCGCGGUAAUACGGAGGGUGCGAGCGUUAAUCGGAAUUACUGGGCGUAAAGGGCACGCAGGCGGUUAAUUAAGUUGGAUGUGAAAUCCCCGGGCUUAACCUGGGAAUGGCAUUCAAGACUGGUUAGCUAGAGUCUUGUAGAGGGGGUUAGAAUUCCAUGUGUAGCGGUGAAAUGCGUAGAGAUGCGGAGGAAUACCGGUGGCGAAGGCGGCCCCUGGACAAAGACUGACGCUCAUGUGCGAAAGCGUGGGGAGCAAAC